CGGGGCGUGGCGCAGCCCGGUAGCGCACUUGCAUGGGGUGCAAGGGGUCGCAGGUUCAAAUCCUGUCGCCCCGA
rnacentral:tRNA from 1 species